AGUCGGAGGAUUCCAGAAGGCGCAGCCGCUGCCGCGCGUGCCUCUUUUCUUGCCUGUCGGUGCGGGGGGCCUCAGUCUCUCUGCCGACACCGCUGCCAUGUUGAGUGUCGCACGGCUCCGCCUGCUGCUUCCCGGGCCUGCCCAGGUUAUCUGGAACGGUUUAAGUCAAGAUAUCCUUAGAGGUGUAACAAGCCGGAAAUAUGCCUCAGACGCAAUCAAAGGUGCAGUCAUCGGUAUCGAUCUCGGCACCACCAACUCCUGUGUGGCCGUCAUGGAAGGAAAGCAAGCUAAAGUGAG